GGUGGUUUGUAGUAUAGAAUAGUUAAAAAGAUGAUGCAUUGGGGUCAGUGCUGGGGGUUGUGGGUUUUAGUUAGGAGUUUUGAGCUAGUGAGAGACAGAUGAAUAGUGGAAGAAACAAGGGGUUAUGGUUACGAUGCAUUGUGUUGGAAAAAGCUCAAUCUUCUUUUAAUUUUUUUGGCUCUUGAACAUUCUCUCCUUCUUGACUUGUUUUAUUUUUAUUUUUCUCUUCUUCAAUUUUGGCAUGAGAGAGAGAGAGAGAGAGAGAGAGAGAGAAUGGUUGGUCUGAGAGUGAGGAAAGGGUUUUUUGUCUGGGAAAGAUGGAAAAAUCAUAUGUUGCUAUUGGUUAGUAUUUUGUGUGUUUUAAAAUUGAGAGAGGAUGAUGGUUAUUGUGUGCAGCUUUCGAGGUUUGUUGGUGUCUUGGUUUUUUUGUU
rnacentral:lncRNA from 1 species